rnacentral:rRNA from 1 species
AUUAACGCUAGCGGCAGGCAUAAUACAUGCAAGUUGAACGGCAGCACAGGUAGCAAUACUGGGUGGCGAGUGGCGCACGGGUGCGUAACACGUAUGCAACCUACCCUAUACAGGCGAAUAACCUUUAGAAAUGGGGGCUAAUACGCCGUAGUAUUACAGAUGGGCAUCUAUUUGUAAUUAAAGAUUUAUCGGUAUAGGAUGGGCAUGCGUCCCAUUAGUUAGUUGGUAAGGUAACGGCUUACCAAGACGAUGAUGGGUAGGGG